CCUACGGGAGGCAGCAGUGAGGCAUAUUGGUCAAUGGUCGGGAGACUGAACCAGCCAAGCCGCGUGAGGGAUGAAGGUACAGAGUAUCGUAAACCUCUUUUGUCAGGGAACAAAGGCGGGGACGUGUCCCCGGAUGAGUGUACCUGAAGAAACAGCAUCGGCUAACUCCGUGCCAGCAGCCGCGGUAAUCCGGAGGAUGCGAGCGUUAUCCGCAUUUAUUGGGUUUAAAGGGUGCGCAGGCGGUCUGUUAAGUCAGCGGUCAAAGCCCGGGGCUCAACCCCGGCCCGCCGUUGAAACUGGCAGUCGCGAGUUGGAGAGAAGUAUGCGGAAUGCGCGGUGUAGCGGUGAAAUGCAUAGAUAUCGCGCAGAACUCCGAUUGCGAAGGCAGCAUGCCGGCUCCACACUGACGCUGAGGCACGAAAGCGUGGGUAUCGAACAGGAUUAGAUACCCGUGUAGUC
rnacentral:rRNA from 1 species